CUCUUUCGGCCCAAAUCGCAACUCCGGCACGGCGGCUCCGCCGUGCUCCAGCGACGGCGCCGCCGCUGGCGGCGGCGAGUCGCCUCGGGUUGGCUGUUUUUGGCCAAAUUCGGCCACACUCGCAUCGGUCCCUGUGAGAAAACAACCCUAGGGCCCUCGGGGGGCCAAAAAAAUCACGGAAAAACGGAGCUUACCGGCGGCGGCGCUCUCGGGUGCGGCGGCUCUCCGGCGAGGUUCGUGUUUUGGUGAUUCGGCUCCGGUCAACCUGUAGAGAAAAGAAUGGUGAUCACGGUGAUAUAAAAAUUGCAUCAAACGGAGGCCGGGAAGGGCCUCGUCGGAGGCAAAAACCGAGAGGGGGCGUGGUGGCGCCGCUGGUCUUCGGCCGCGUAUUCCGGCCGUUU
rnacentral:lncRNA from 1 species